GACGAACGCUGGCGGCGUGCUUAACACAUGCAAGUCGAGCGAUGAAAGCCUUAUGAACUAUUCGUAGUGAUUGGGGCCGGAUUAGCGGCGGACGGGUGAGUAACGCGUGAGCAACCUGCCUUAAACAACGGGAUAGCCUCGGGAAACCGGGAUUAAUACCGUAUGAGACCCCGCCUUCCCAUGAAGAAGGGGUUAAAGAUUUAUCGGUUUAAGAUGGGCUCGCGUCUGAUUAGCUAGUUGGUGAGAUAAAAGCCCACCAAGGCAACGAUCAGUAACCGGCUUGAGAGAGUGAACGGUCACAUUGGAACUGAGACACGGUCCAAACUCCUACGGGAGGCAGCAGUGGGGAAUAUUGCACAAUGGGGGAAACCCUGAUGCAGCGACGCCGCGUGAGCGAUGAAGGAAUUCGUUUCGUAAAGCUCUGUCCAAGGGGAAGAUAAUGACAGUACCCUUGGAGGAAGCCCCGGCUAAAUACGUGCCAGCCGCCGCCGUAA
rnacentral:rRNA from 1 species